AGGACGAACGCUGGCGGCGUGCCUAACACAUGCAAGUCGAGCGAGGAGAUCCUCGGGAUGAUCCUAGCGGCGGACGGGUGAGUAACACGUGGGCAACCUGCCUCAUAGAGAGGAAUAGCCUUCCGAAAGGGAGAUUAAUACCUCAUAACAUUGCAGUUUCGCAUGGAACAGCAAUUAAAGGAGUAAUCCGCUAUGAGAUGGGCCCGCGGCGCAUUAGCUAGUUGGUGAGGUAAUGGCUCACCAAGGCAACGAUGCGUAGCCGACCUGAGAGGGUGAUCGGCCACAUUGGGACUGAGACACGGCCCAGACUCCUACGGGAGGCAGCAGUGGGGAAUAUUGCACAAUGGGGGAAACCCUGAUGCAAGCAACGCCGCGUGAGUGAUGACGGCCUUCGGGUUGUAAAGCUCUGUCUUCAGGGACGAUAAUGACGGUACCUGAGGAGGAAGCCACGGCUAACUACGUGCCAGCAGCCGC
rnacentral:rRNA from 1 species